rfam:Abiotrophia defectiva ATCC 49176 genomic scaffold Scfld0, whole genome shotgun sequence.
AGGUAACACAAGGGGUGCCGCGCCUGCGGCUGAGAUGGGGCUUUGCCUCGGACCCUCAUAACCUGAUGAAGUUAAUACUUACGUAGGGAUGUGGCAAGUUGAAUCU